CAAAGGCGUUCGCACCUACAAAGCCGGAGAUGCACCUGCAAACAAGGCAGUCCCCCUCGCCUGCAACUCCCCCCGGGCGGCACUUUAUUUGCAAAGCUGCGUAAUUGGUUUAAGCUUGUGGGGAAAGAAGGAGAGACAGAGAAACCAUGCGAGUCACCGUGUUGAGACAUAAUACUAUGGGCUCCCAAUAAAUACGGACAGAGGCCUGAAUGCGGAUCCACUGAUAUUAACCUCCACUUGGCAAACAUCAGAAUUAAGUCAAAUCCUCGAAACAUACAAAACUCUGGAAUCAACAGAGGAGAACAACAAAUGAAAAUAUGUCUUGAAGGAAAUAAAAUAUAUAAAAGCACUGGAUUAAA